GUCCAAAACUCUUCUUAAAAACCUCCAGUCAUGGGAGCACCCCCAACUUCUAGAAGGCAAAUUGUUCCACUGGUUAAUUGUUCUCACUACGAGGAAGUUUCUCCUUG